AGUGAACGCUGGCGGUAGGCCUAACACAUGCAAGUCGAACGGCAGCACAGUAAGAGCUUGCUCUUACGGGUGGCGAGUGGCGGACGGGUGAGGAAUACAUCGGAAUCUACUUUUUCGUGGGGGAUAACGUAGGGAAACUUACGCUAAUACCGCAUACGACCUACGGGUGAAAGCAGGGGAUCUUCGGACCUUGCGCGAUUGAAUGAGCCGAUGUCGGAUUAGCUAGUUGGCGGGGUAAAGGCCCACCAAGGCGACGAUCCGUAGCUGGUCUGAGAGGAUGAUCAGCCACACGGGAAUGGAGACACGGUCCAGACUCCUACGGAGGCAGCAGUGGGGAAUAUUGGACAAUGGGCGCAAGCCUGAUCCAGCCAUACCGCGUGGGUGAAGAAGGCCUUCGGGUUGUAAAGCCCUUUUGUUGGGAAAGAAAAGCAGCAGGUUAAUACCCCGCUGUUCUGACGGUACCCAAAGAAUAAGCACCGGCUAACUUCGUG
rnacentral:rRNA from 1 species